GAUAACUUGCUUUUAUUCUGAAGUUUAAAAGUAGGAGUAAAUUUCAUGAAUUCUCAGCACUUAAGACUAAAAUGGCACUUUGAGAAGCUUGAUAAAUACCGGCCCUGAUUGGCAGGGUAAUCAGCGGCUUGGGACACACCUGGGCCCGGUGUGCCCCAUGCAAAUAAGCCAGAGCAGCAGUCAGUCUUGGGUUGGACCUCCUCAUCUCACAACUUCCUUUGUUUGUUUGAUUUCUUGUCUUUGUUUUUACAGCACAACAUCCAUGCAACACAUUUUCACUCAUCCACCCCCUACACUAUUGACUUUACAUAUUCUUCCCACUCAUUGGUUUCGCUUAUUUUCUUAUUAAUAAAAUCACUUUGUUAUUUAGUUUACCCGUGUGUCUCCUGUUUUUGUCCAGUCCGUGAGCCGGGCUGUGACACUAAUAAUAUGUCUAUUAGCUAUGGUUAUCCCUUCCAAGGCACUGUUGGAGACAUGAAGAGCGAGGAGUUGAGAGGCGAUCAUAAACAAAUAAGGAGAAAUUGAUGAGCAUCCUUGUUUGAUGCCACGUGACACACUGAACCUAGGUUAAGUGCCAAAUUUCAGUUUGACUCCAGUACUGCUAUUCUUAUGUAGCGUUCUGACAGUUCUACAUAAACCAUCACCAAAUCCAAGUUUUCUUUAGGGCUUUUAAAAUAAAACUGUGUUCAAGUGAAUCAAACGCCUUGUAAAAAUCAAGAAACAGUAGAAAGCUAUGGUCAUUAACAAGCUCAUUGUAAGCAAAUGCAUCCAGUACUAAUCUAAUGUUGUUAGCAAUAUGUCUUUUCUUCAUGAACCCGGACUGUGAUUCAUCUAUUACAGAAUCCAACACUUCUGUAAGUGUAUUAGCAAAACUAACGGCAAAAACUUUAUAAUCAUUGUUUACUCUUUGUUCGGUUUUGGAAUCAGAGUGAUGACAGCAUACUAUUUAGAGGGCAUAAGUGUGUUCACCCUGUGAUGGAUUGACGACCUGUACAGGGUGUACCCCACCUUUCGCCCGAUGUCACCAUUUAACAAUGGAUGGAUGGAAGUGUGUUCACACUACGUAGCGGAGAGGCCAACAACAGAACAUCUUUUACAAUUUUUGUACACUGAAAAAUUUAUGGCGAAUUGAAAAUGAUGAAAACGUUUUCAGAGUAGAGAAGCUCCAUGGGGGAAGCUAACGAGCCAAUCAUGCUCACAGAGCCCUCUGGUACUAGCCAAAGCAGCAGCUGAUUCCAGCAAUUACGGCAAAGCACAGCUGUAUGAUGAGUUUAAAUGUUUGUACUGCUGUUAUUCUCUCAUUACAUUUGAAUUUUCAGAUAUUGUAUUUUUUUCAAGAUUAUAUUUUUCUUUGAGAUGAUCAAGAGCACCUAAUUUUGGAUGGCGACCAUUUGUCUUUUAAGAAAAAAAUAUAUGUAUAUAUAAUAUAUAUAGUUUUAGAAGAGACAUCUUGAAAGAAUAGCCUUUUCCAAAAUAUAAUAUAGUUAUGAUUAUAAUAGAUAGAGUUGAAAGGCCCUUCAAAUGUUAUUUCUCUACAUUUUUAUCAAAUUAAUGAAGGUAACCGGAUGGACAUUACAUUGAUAGGCUUGACCGGAGUAACAGGACUGACAGGACACACCUUAUAGUAAACAUCCAUUCUGUAAUAAAACAUAUAAUUGAAUUAACACCUCUAUGAUGGUGUUAACAAAUCCUGAACAAUAUAAGCAACAUAAAAGCAGAAUUUAUGGCUGAGCUGGUGUAUUUAUUACAUUAGAUUGUAUAGGUGUACCUAAUAAACUGGGCACUGCAGACACAAGUCAAGGUUCUCCCUGGAGCUCCUGUGACGUAGAGUAGAACAGUAAAAAUUGAUUCCAUUUCAUUUCUUAGAGGUUUUUCCAAAGAGGUGAGGUUUUACAAUGAGGGUUACUCUGGUGCUGAUUGCUGCUGUCCGGUCUGUGUGGGACAUGGGCUCAAGGAGAGGGCAAAGAAAGUGACCAAGGUUUACAGAUAAGGAAUAUCUGGGAUGAGUUUAGAGCUCUCAAAGACAUGGUGGUGGAGCAGAAGGUGGAACUGAGGAACACCAAAGCUGAACUACAAAUCCAGAGAGACAAAGUGGCUGCUUUAGAGAAGGAGAACACAGUGAUGAGCUCCAGACUGACAGCCACUGAAAACAAGGUGACAGCAAUUACAGCGGAGCUGGAAGCGAUUAAGUGUGAACAGCAGCUGCAGAAGAAAAAAGUGGAGGAUGCUGAGAGACUGAUUUCUGGUACGUAAUUACCAAAAUCACGGACUUAGUGAAUCUGGAAAAAUCUUGAAAGAGCAGUUGAAAAAUGACUGUCUUUCUUGCUUCUAGCACAAGCAGCAGAACUGGCAGCCCUGGUUUCAAGAGUGACCACCAGUGAGAAGGAGGCACAGGAGCAGAGGAAGGAGGUGACAGCUCUCAAGAAAGAGCUGGAUAUUUCUCAGACUCAACUACAGCUCACCAAGAACAAAUUAGAUGAGAUAGAAAGGACAAUUGCAGAAACUCCGAAGCUGGCUUUCACUGCUGGUUUGACCACUUCAGGAAAGAUUGGACCAUUCAACACUGAAACUCCACUCAUCUAUAGUAGAGUCUUCACAAAUAUCGGCGGGGCUUACAACCCAACUACAGGUAAGAAUUACCAAAAGAAUUGUAAUAUUGUCUGAGAGAUGGACAACCUCUCUGAUACUGUUGCAGGUAUCUUCACAGCACCUGUCAAAGGAGUCUACUACAUAAGAUUCACAGCCUUCAACAACAAGAACGGAGAAUGGAUGGCAGUAAAUUUAAACCAUAAUAGUGAAAGAAUUUUGCAUAAUUCGGAGUUAGCUAAUGGUCAUUCUUUCAUUGCAAAUGCAUUAAUUCUACAGCUGGAAGAGGGAAGUGUCGUCUAUUUGCGUCUCCAACAAAACUGUGGCCUAUAUGAUGAUGCUAGCUCCUGGAACACCUUCAGUGGUUUCCUGCUGUUCCCUCUGUAACUUUCAGAUAUAGUUUGCCUAACUUCACCGAGGCCUUGAGGGUUUUUUGCACUUUCCAGUGGUCUAUUACGUUACAUUUAAUUUAUACUUUGUGAUUACUGUCCUUGGUUAACUCAAUUAGAUUAAGUCAAUUAUAUACACUCAACAAAGAGGUUCACUCUUAUAUGUGAAAAUCACUGAUUAAAUAAACUAAUGUGCAUGACCACUAACAUGCUAUACUGUUCUUAACUGGCCCCAGUGUAUAGCUAUAGAUUAACAAUUUGCAUUAUAUGCAAAUUUUAAAUAAUAAAUGAAGGGAGCAUUUAACUACAAUACCGCUGAACAAAUUGGUCGAACUGAUUUUCCUUGCAAACUCUGCACCAGCCAAUACAGGACAAUCAACUGGAACUACUCACUGGUGUAAGACAGAAUGGAAUGAAAAGUGUUUGUUAGGAGUGGGAAUCUCUGGGUACCUCACAGUUCUAUUCGAUUUCGAUUCGGAGCGCUGCGCUGCGAUUAUAAAACGAUUAUUGAUGCAUCUUGAUGCAUAAUUUUUU